CUGGAGGCCGGGGCUCGUAGCAGGUGUUUGGGAUUCUGGGUCUCGCAUGUCUCGGUCCUAACCCGGGAGUUUCGGAGCUGAGAGGAAGGGUUUGUUGGCUUUUCAGGAUUCAGACAUAUGCCUCCUUGGGUUUUUGGGCUUGUUGCAUAGCCCCCGGAGGGGCUGCGUUGGAUUCUGGGUCUCCCACUUCUCCAUCCUUCCCCGUAAGUUUCUUAGUUGAGACCCCCUGGUCUGGAGGAUGUGUGGGAAACACUGACCCGUUUCUGUCGGGUACAGGGAGAGGCUUCAGCCCUGAUGAGCCAUGGUAAGAUACAGCCCCGGGCGUGGAGGCCUGGGGCGAGUGGAGCACUAUCCAUUUUGUGCAUCCUAUCCCUCCGAACUUCCCCGGGAGAUUCUGAGCAGGGAACCCAGAGCCUGGCGGGUGUUUGUGUUUGUGUGAGCCCAUCUUUCAGGUACAGGAACGGCUUCAGGCACAGUGAGCCAUAGCGAGCAGCCCCGGCGUGGAGCCCGGGCGAGCAGCCGGGCUGGAGGCCCCGGGGCGAGCACC
rnacentral:lncRNA from 1 species